GGAGUUUGGACCGUGUCUCAGUUCCAAUGUGGGGGACCUUCCUCUCAGAACCCCUACCGAUCGAUGGCUUGGUGGGCCGUUACCCCGCCAACUACCUAAUCGGACGCAUCCCCAUCCAUGGCCGGUAAACCUUUAGUCCUCGUUAGAUGUCUGCAAAGGACACCAUAGAGCAUUAAUCCGACUUUCGCCGGGCUAUUCUCUACUAUGGGGAAGGUUGGAUACGCGUUACUCACCCGUGCGCCGGUCGCCAUCAUCGGUUGCAAGCAACCGACAUGCUGCCCCUCGACUUGCAUGUGUUAAGCCUGUAGCUAGCGUUCAUC
rnacentral:rRNA from 1 species